rnacentral:rRNA from 1 species
AACGAACGCUGGCGGCAUGCCUAACACAUGCAAGUCGAACGAGACCUUCGGGUCUAGUGGCGCACGGGUGCGUAACGCGUGGGAAUCUGCCCUUGGGUUCGGAAUAACAGUUGGAAACGACUGCUAAUACCGGAUGAUGUCGUAAGUCCAAAGAUUUAUCGCCCAAGGAUGAGCCCGCGUAGGAUUAGCUAGUUGGUGAGGUAAAGGCUCACCAAGGCGACGAUCCGUAGCUGGUCUGAGAGGAUGAUCAGCCACACUGGGACUGAGACACGGCCCAGACUCCUACGGGAGGCAGCAGUGGGGAAUAUUGGACAAUGGGCGAAAGCCUGAUCCAGCAAUGCCGCGUGAGUGAUGAAGGCCUUAGGGUUGUAAAGCUCUUUUACCCGGGAUGAUAAUGACAGUACCGGGAGAAUAAGCUCCGGCUAACUCCGUG